rnacentral:rRNA from 1 species
AUUGAACGCUGGCGGCAGGCCUAACACAUGCAAGUCGAGCGGAUGACGGGAGCUUGCUCCUUGAUUCAGCGGCGGACGGGUGAGUAAUGCCUAGGAAUCUGCCUGGUAGUGUGGGACAACGUUCCGAAAGGGGCGCUAAUACCGCAUACGUCCUACGGGAGAAAGUGGGGGAUCUUCGGACCUCACGCUAUCAGAUGAGCCUAGGUCGGAUUAGCUAGUUGGUGAGGUAAAGGCUCACCAAGGCGACGAUCCGUAACUGGUCUGAGAGGAUGAUCAGUCACACUGGAACUGAGACACGGUCCAGACUCCUACGGGAGGCAGCAGUGGGGAAUAUUGGACAAUGGGCGAAAGCCUGAUCCAGCCAUGCCGCGUGUGUGAAGAAGGUCUUCGGAUUGUAAAGCACUUUAAGUUGGGAGGAAGGGCAGUAAGUUAAUACCUUGCUGUUUUGACGUUACCGACAGAAUAAGCACCGGCUAACUCUGUGCCAGCCGCCGCAGUAAAAC